rnacentral:rRNA from 1 species
CGCAUCUGUGCAUGCAGCAUAUCAAUAAGCGGAGGAAAAGAAACUAACAAGGAUUCCCCUAGUAACGGCGAGUGAAGCGGGAAGAGCUCAAAUUUGAAAUCUUAAAGGGUUUCCCUUUACGAAUUGUAGUUUAAAGAAGUGUUUUCUGUUGAGGUUUUGGUAAAAGUUCUUUGGAAUAGGACAUCAUAGAGGGUGAGAAUCCCGUAUUUGACCUUUACUUUCAGCUUUGUGAUACACUUUCAAAGAGUCGGAUUGUUUGGGAAUGCAGUCCAAAAUGGGUGGUAAAUUUCAUCUAAAGCUAAAUAUUGGCGAGAGACCGAUAGCGAACAAGUACCGUGAGGGAAAGAUGAAAAGAACUUUGAAAAGAGAGUUAAACAGGUACGUGAAAUUGUCAAAAGGGAAGCGUUUGACACCAGUGUUGUUUUUCUGAAAAUCAAUUAAAGAACUGUUUAUGCUAAGUUGUUUAGACUUUAUCAGCUAUCUGUUUAGUUUUGAGCUUUUCUUUAAUGCACUUUUCAGUUAACAAGUCAACAUCAAUUUCUUUUGCUGUAAAAAAGCUUGAGGAGGGUGGCUUGAGAUUCGUCUUAAGUGUUUAUAGCCUCUUGCCUAUGCAGUCGGAGAGAUUGAGGUCUGCAGCGUAGAUCCUUCGGGGCUAAAUGCAUUUGUGCUAAGUUAUAGCAUUUUAUAGACAACUUGUUGACUAUGAUUUGUCUUGUAGCUUACUCGCUUAUGUUAUUUUACCUACGCUUAGGAUGUUGAAGAUGUAGCACAUCAU